rnacentral:rRNA from 1 species
UCCAGACUCCUACGGGAGGCAGCAGUGGGGGAUAUUGCACAAUGGGGGAAACCCUGAUGCAGCGACGCCGCGUGGGUGAAGAAGUAUUUCGGUAUGUAAAGCCCUAUCAGCAGGGAAGAAAGAAGACGGUACCUGACUAAGAAGCCCCGGCUAACUACGUGCCAGCAGCCGCGGUAAUACGUAGGGGGCGAGCGUUAUCCGGAUUCACUGGGUGUAAAGGGAGCGUAGACGGCCGUGCAAGCCAGGAGUGAAAGCCCGGGGCCCAACCCCGGGACUGCUCUUGGAACUGUGCGGCUGGAGUGCGGGAGGGGCAGGCGGAAUUCCUGGUGUAGCGGUGAAAUGCGUAGAUAUCAGGAGGAACACCGGCGGCGAAGGCGGCCUGCUGGACCGCGACUGACGUUGAGGCUCGAAAGCGCGGGGAGCGAACAGGAUUAGAUACCCGGGUAA